CACAAAAGGAGGGAGGGAGCGAGCGAGAGGCCUUCGGGAGCACAGAGCCGAGUGGGGGGCCAGGAGGGGAGAUUGAGGAACGGGGUGCGAGGGGCCGUCCACUGCCUGUCCGCGCGUUCGGUGCCGCUUGCCAACCCUCUUCUGGUGUGUCUGUCGGUUGCAGCGUCGGAGUUUGGCGCGGGCCCCCGCCCUCCGCGCCCACCACGGCAAGGGAACACCCCCAGAACUAAAAAAGAGCGGAGCGGAAAGCAGCUUUCGUUUGCCCGCCGGGAGGCGAGCCGAUGCCGAGCUGCACCGCGUCCACCAUG
rnacentral:other from 1 species